rnacentral:rRNA from 1 species
AUGACGUCAAGUCAUCAUGCCCCUUAUGUCCAGGGCUUCACACAUGCUACAAUGGCCGGUACAAAGGGCUGCGAUGCCGUAAGGUUAAGCGAAUCCUUUUAAAGCCGGUCUCAGUUCGGAUUGGGGUCUGCAACUCGACCCCAUGAAGUCGGAGUCGCUAGUAAUCGCAGAUCAGCAACGCUGCGGUGAAUACGUUCCCGGGCCUUGUACACACCGCCCGUCACGUCAUGAAAGUCGGUAACACCCGAAGCCAGUGGCCUAACCUUUUGGAGGGAGCUGUCGAAGGUGGGAUCGGCGAUUGGGACGAAGUCGUAACAAGGUAGCCGUACCGGAAAGUGCGGGUGGAUC